rnacentral:misc_RNA from 1 species
AAGUCGUAACAAGGUCUCCGUUGGUGAACCAGCGGAGUGAUCAUUACAGAGUUGCAAAACUCCCAACCCUUUGUGAACGAACCUACCAGUUGCCUCGGCGGCGAGCCCCCUGGGCGGACCGCCGGAGGAAUACAAACUCUUUGCAUUAUAGUAUCUCUGAUUACUUAUUCAAUAAGUUAAAACUUUCAACAACGGAUCUCUUGGUUCUG